rnacentral:rRNA from 1 species
AGAGUUUGAUCCUGGCUCAGGAUGAACGCUGGCGGCGUGCUUAACACAUGCAAGUCGAACGAACCUUCGGGUUAGUGGCGGACGGGUGAGUAACGCGUGAGAAUCUGCCCUCAGGAGGGGGAUAACGGUUGGAAACGACCGCUAAUACCCCAUAUGCCUACUGGUGAAAUGAAUUUCGCCUGAGGAUGAGCUCGCGUCUGAUUAGCUAGUUGGUGAGGUAAUGGCUCACCAAGGCUUCGAUCAGUAGCUGGUCUGAGAGGAUGAUCAGCCACACUGGGACUGAGACACGGCCCAGACUCCUACGGGAGGCAGCAGUGGGGAAUUUUCCGCAAUGGGCGAAAGCCUGACGGAGCAACGCCGCGUGAGGGACGAAGGCCUCUGGGCUGUAAACCUCUUUUCUCAAGGAAGAAGAUAUGACGGUACUUGAGGAAUAAGCCACGGCUAAUUCCGUGCCAGCAGCCGCGGUAAUACGGGAGUGGCAAGCGUUAUCCGGAAUUAUUGGGCGUAAAGCGUCCGCAGGCGGCUUUUCAAGUCUGCUGUUAAAGCGUGGAGCUUAACUCCAUCAUGGCAGUGGAAACUGAAAGGCUUGAGUAUGGUAGGGGCAGAGGGAAUUCCCGGUGUAGCGGUGAAAUGCGUAGAUAUCGGGAAGAACACCAGUGGCGAAGGCGCUCUGCUGGGCCAUUACUGACGCUCAUGGACGAAAGCCAGGGGAGCGAAAGGGAUUAGAUACCCCUGUAGUCCUGGCCGUAAACGAUGAACACUAGGUGUCGGGGGAAUCGACCCCUUCGGUGUCGUAGCUAACGCGUUAAGUGUUCCGCCUGGGGAGUACGCACGC